AAGAAGGCCUUCGGGUUGUAAAGCUCUUUCAGAUGCGAAGAUGAUGACGGUAACAUCAGAAGAAGCCCCGGCUAAUUUCGUGCCAGCAGCCGCGGUAAUACGAAGGGGGCAAGCGUUAUUCAAAAAAACUGGGCGUAAAGGGCUUUUAGAUGGUAUAAAGAGAGUUAUUAGCUAAAGUUCUUAAUUAAGGUAAGAAUUGUCUAAUAAAACAUUUAAACUUUGAGUAGCAAGUGGAUAGGAUUUAUUUUUUUAGUUGAGGUGGCAUUCGUCUAUAAAAAAAGGAGGAUCUUGGGUGAAAACAUCCUAUUGUUUGCGUACUGACGUCAAUAAAGCAAAAGCAUAGGGAGCAAACAGGAUUAGAUAUCCUGGUAGUCUAUGCCCUGACCGAUGGGUAUUAAAAAAUUAAUGUGUUUUUAUAAUUAACGUGUAAAUACUUCGCCUGGGGACUACGGUCGCAAGACUAAAACUCAAAGGAAUUGACGGGGACCCGCACAAGCGGUGGAUGAUGUGGUUUAAUUCGAUGCAACGC
rnacentral:rRNA from 13 species